UUCGCCCUUGGGCAAGUCUGGUGCCAGCAGCCGCGGUAAUUCCAGCUCCAAUAGCGUAUAUUAAAGUUGUUGUGGUUAAAAAGCUCGUAGUUGAACCUUGGGCCUGGCUGGCCGGUCCGCCUCACCGCGUGUACUGGUCCGGCCGGGCCUUUCCCUCUGUGGAACCCCAUGCCCUUCACUGGGCGUGGCGGGGAAACAGGACUUUUACUGUGAAAAAAUUAGAGUGCUCCAGGCAGGCCUAUGCUCGAAUACAUUAGCAUGGAAUAAUAGAAUAGGACGUGUGGUUCUAUUUUGUUGGUUUCUAGGACCGCCGUAAUGAUUAAUAGGGACAGUCGGGGGCAUCAGUAUUCAAUUGUCAGAGGUGAAAUUCUUGGAUUUAUUGAAGACUAACUACUGCGAAAGCAUUUGCCAAGGAUGUUUUCAUUAAUCAGGAACGAAAGUUAGGGGAUCGAAGACGAUCAGAUACCGUCGUAGUCUUAACCAUAAACUAUGCCGACUAGGGAUCGGACGGUGUUAUUUUUUGACCCGUUCGGCGCCUUACGGGAAAC
rnacentral:rRNA from 1 species